UACCAGCACCCCGAGUGGUCGGGACGAUUAUUGGGCCUAAAGCAUCCGUAGCCGGUUCUACAAGUCUUCCGUUAAAUCCACCUGCUUAACAGAUGGGCUGCGGAGGAUACUAUAGAGCUAGGAGGCGGGAGAGGCAAGCGGUACUUAGAGGGUAGGGGUAAAAUCCGUUGAUCCACUGAAGACCACCAGUGGCGAAGGCGGCUUGCCAGAACGCACUCGACGGUGAGGGAUGAAAGCUGGGGGAGCAAACCGG
rnacentral:rRNA from 1 species